rnacentral:rRNA from 1 species
UACCGAGUGCGGGUCCUUUGGGCCCAACCUCCCAUCCGUGUCUAUUGUACCCUGUUGCUUCGGCGGGCCCGCCGCUUGUCGGCCGCCGGGGGGGCGCCUCUGCCCCCCGGGCCCGUGCCCGCCGGAGACCCCAACACGAACACUGUCUGAAAGCGUGCAGUCUGAGUUGAUUGAAUGCAAUCAGUUAAAACUUUCAACAAUGGAUCUCUUGGUUCCGGCAUCGAUGAAGAACGCAGCGAAAUGCGAUAACUAAUGUGAAUUGCAGAAUUCAGUGAAUCAUCGAGUCUUUGAACGCACAUUGCGCCCCCUGGUAUUCCGGGGGGCAUGCCUGUCCGAGCGUCAUUGCUGCCCUCAAGCCCGGCUUGUGUGUUGGGUCGCCGUCCCCCUCUCCGGGGGGACGGGCCCGAAAGGCAGCGGCGGCACCGCGUCCGAUCCUCGAGCGUAUGGGGCUUUGUCACAUGCUCUGUAGGAUUGGCCGGCGCCUGCCGACGUUUUCCAACCAUUCUUUCCAGGUUGACCUCGAUCAGGAGGGAUACCCGCUGAACUUAAGCAUAAAACUU